UACGGAGGAUGCGAGCGUUAUCCGGAUUUAUUGGGUUUAAAGGGUGCGUAGGCGGAUCGUUAAGUCAGUGGUCAAAUUGAGGGGCUCAACCCCUUCCCGCCAUUGAAACUGGCGAUCUUGAGUGGAAGAGAAGUAGGCGGAAUGCGCAGUGUAGCGGUGAAAUGCUUAGAUAUUGCGCAGAACUCCGAUUGCGAAGGCAGCCUACCGGCUUCUGUCUGACGCUGAGGCACGAAAGCGUGGGUAUCGAACAGG
rnacentral:rRNA from 1 species